CAGAUAGCUGAUCUUUUUAAUAUGGAGGUGGUGAUUGGAUGGGACCUUGAAUUGACCUUAUUAGGGUGAGCUGGAAGCAAAGGACUCCAAGAUGGGAAAAGCCACACAAUGGAGGGAUCCCAGCAUGCACCAGAUGUUCACGAAAUGACCACGUGGAUUGGAUCCCAUUGUCCAGAGGAUCCUAGCCCAAGAGACCAUAGUUGACUGGUAUCCUCAGACCCUCCCGGGUAGUGUACCUGUGGGCUGUGGCACACCUGGAGGGAGAGCCGCUCUCGACGGAUGAGGACACGCUGACAUAGAGAGGUCGAGGUGGCAGUCCAGACCAGGUGACGUUUCCUCAGUGUGCACGAACGCAGUACCACCAGACCAGGAACCGGGAUCAAAGUUUAGGAAGGAAAUCAACAUUUUAGUCAGAGGGUGGCUGGUUUCGGGGAGAGCGGGUAAGGCUCUGAAAAGGAAAACAAAUAGAUCUGAGGCCUCGUCAGGAUGUAGAAUAUCAGUGAAUAGGGGCAAGUGGUUCAGAACUAAGGUUUUAAACGGGGAAGGCACUGGAGGACCGGCCCGCCUGCCAAGCUGGUCUGCAGGCUCCCUGUGGACAAGCGUCUUCUCCGUGGG